rnacentral:rRNA from 1 species
UAAUAGGAAAAAUAAUGAUGUCACUUUUAUAAAUAGUGUUGUCCAAAGCUGGUGCCAGAAGACUCGGUAAGGCCAGAGACGCAAGCGUUAAUCAUCUUGAUCAGGCGUAAAGGGUUUGUAGGCAGCUUUAAAAGAAUUAAAGAUAGAAUCAAAUAGAAGUACAAGAGAAUUACUAGAGUAGGGUUGAUAUCCGUAUAAACCAGUAAGAAUUCUAAUUAGCGAAGGCACUUUACUAUCUAAUGAUUGACGCUGAGAAACGAAGGGGAGAAUAGAAAACAGGAUUAGAUACCCUACUAUCUCUCUCUGUAAACGAUGAAUGGUAGUUGCUAGUAAUAAUAAUUAGUGACGAGGCUAACGCGUUAACCAUUCCGCCUUGUGAGUAC